rnacentral:rRNA from 1 species
GACGGAAGGUGCAAGCGUUGCUCGGAAUCACUGGGCGUAAAGGGUGCGUAGGCGGCUUGGUGGGUCUGGUGUGAAAGCCCCGGGCUCAGCCCGGGAAGGGCGCUAGAAACUGCCGAGCUCGAGUGCCGGAGGGGAGAGUGGAAUUCCUGGUGUAGCGGUGAAAUGCGUAGAUAUCAGGAGGAAUACCGGUGGCGAAAGCGACUCUCUGGACGGCAACUGACGCUGAGGCACGAAAGCGUGGGGAGCAAACAGG